CACUGCUCGCUGCGGCGACAACGCCGAACGAUCUAAGACGCGGGUCGAUGUGAUUGUGAAUAACUCCACUUGUAGACAACGUAACGACUUGAAACAAAGCGCAUUGGAAAGGGGAAAUUGUCGCGCAUCCGAGGAAUAUGGGAUCAUCCUUCAGUGGCACGAGGAUCAAGUGGCGUAAUCAUUGAUCGCUCCGAAAUAACCGCGCGUCACGACGAGUGCGGGACAACGAGGAGCGAUGAUACGCCGGCGUGAGGGAAACAGCGGGAACGAAAGUAGGAAGAUACCGAUCGACGGAAGACGCGGAGACGAGAGGAAAGAGUGAGAGACGCGCCAACGCGCGAGAUCGAAGGGACGUGCGGGACGAGUGCGCGCCGCGAGCUCGGGCGAAGGGAAAAAGAGUCGAAGAAGGAUGGACUACCGAGGAGCCUCGAAGGAUGGAACUAUGGAAGCAAAAACAGAAACCAGUCUCACUGGCUCAAGGCUGCCUGGCCGAGAGAGUACCUGGCCCGCUGGAGCGCUGGAGCUACCUGGAUCGUCCAAGGGACUUUCGUUCAGUUGAGAUCAAAUGGAGAAAAGAAGAAGGAAACUUCGUCGAGGGCAAGAUAAAUAAC